rnacentral:rRNA from 1 species
UACGUAGGGUGCAAGCGUUGUCCGGAAUUAUUGGGCGUAAAGAGCUCGUAGGCGGUUUGUUGCGUCGGCUGUGAAAUCCCGAGGCUCAACCUCGGGUCUGCAGUCGAUACGAGCAAACUAGAGUGUUGCAGGGGAGACUGGAAUUCCUGGUGUAGCGGUGAAAUGCGCAGAUAUCUGGAGGAACACCGGUGGCGAAGGCGGCAUCCUGGACCGGCAUUGACGCUGAGGAGCGAAAGCCAGGGGAGCAAAGCGGG